GAAAAUAAUUUUCCAACCUUACAUAUCAUAAAUAUGUUGACAUGCGACAGUAACACAAAUAAAAGUGAAAUUACAGAACGUACAAAAUGAUUUUGAUUUCAGUUCAAGGCGUUCAGGUUCAGUUCAGGUUCAAAGAUAAUCGCGGGAUUUAAAGUGACGCGUAAGUGGCGACGAAUUUAAUUUCAAUGAUGCAGUUUUACUGACAUGCGAAGGGGUUGAUUUUUCCUUUAGUAGUGUAGUGGUGAACAAAAUUGUUCUAAUUUAUUAAAAUUAUCCGAUCUAAUCUAAUUUAUUAGAAUUAUUGAUAUAUAGAAUUAUAGGCUAUCAAAAUUUUUUUCUUCACUACAAAUUCGCAGAUAUAAUGAAUCCAAAUGAAAUAUUAUCCAUUGUUAUUUCUUAAAUUUUAGGGGUAUGAAAGCGAGAUCAAGAUACAGGCUGUUACGGAUUUUCAAAAUUUAUCUUUUUGGUUACUGAAGUUUCAAGCAAUUACAACUGAUUUAGACAAGUUAUUGCGCAAAACGUUCGACGACUGUUCAACAUCGGAGAGAGAAAUAGCUAUUUUGAAGAAGUACAGGAAACUUAAUUUGAGAAAAAUGGAGAAAGUUUCGAAAGAGAUUGUAAUUCGAAAAGAAGUUAUUGAAACGGACCGCAGAGAGAAAGAAAUAAAGCGCCAGAUGCGCUUGGAAGAAGAAAGAAGAACUAAAGCUGCUAUAAUUAUACAAGCCUUUUGGCGUGGAACUAUGGUAAGAAAACACUUAGGACCUUAUAAAAAGAAGAAGAAGAAAAAGAAAAAGAAGAAAAAAUAAGCUUGAUCAAGAUUGCAAACUUUAAUUUGCAUCAAACACUUUCAGUCCUGAAAAUUUUAGCGUUGAAUCGUUAAUAAAUAUAU